rnacentral:rRNA from 1 species
GAUGAACGCUGGCGGCGUGCCUAAUACAUGCAAGUCGAGCGAACGGACGAGAAGCUUGCUUCUCUGAUGUUAGCGGCGGACGGGUGAGUAACACGUGGAUAACCUACCUAUAAGACUGGGAUAAUUUCGGGAAACCGGAGCUAAUACCGGAUAAUAUUUUGAACCGCAUGGUUCAAAAGUGAAAGACGGUCUUGCUGUCACUUAUAGAUGGAUCCGCGCUGCAUUAGCUAGUUGGUAAGGUAACGGCUUACCAAGGCAACGAUGCAUAGCCGACCUGAGAGGGUGAUCGGCCACACUGGAACUGAGACACGGUCCAGGCUCCUAGGGGAGGCAGCAGUAGGGAAUCUUGCGCAAUGGGCGAAAGCCUGACGGAGCAACGCCGCGUGAGUGAUGAAGGUCUUCGGAUCGUAAAACUCUGUUAUUAGGGAAGAACAUAUGUGUAAGUAACUGUGCACAUCUUGACGGUACCUAAUCAGAAAGCCACGGCUAACUACGUG